AUUGAACGCUGGCGGCAGGCCUAACACAUGCAAGUCGAGCGGACGAAGGGAGCUUGCUCCUGGAUUCAGCGGCGGACGGGUGAGUAAUGCCUAGGAAGCUGCCUGGUAGUGGGGGAUAACGUCCGGAAACGGGCGCUAAUACCGCAUACGUCCUGAGGGAGAAAGUGGGGGAUCUUCGGACCUCGCGCUAUCAGAUGAGCCUAGGUCGGAUUAGCUAGUUGGUGGGGUAAAGGCCUACCAAGGCGACGAUCCGUAACUGGUCUGAGAGGAUGAUCAGUCACACUGGAACUGAGACACGGUCCAGACUCCUACGGGAGGCAGCAGUGGGGAAUAUUGCACAAUGGGCGAAAGCCUGAUCCAGCCAUGCCGCGUGUGUGAAGAAGGUCUUCGGAUUGUAAAGCACUUUUAGUUGGGAGGAAGGGCAGUAAGUUAAUACCUUGCUGUCUUGACGUUACCAACAGAAUAAGCACCGGCUAACUUCGUG
rnacentral:rRNA from 1 species